CCUACGGGAGGCAGCAGUGGGGAAUAUUGGGCAAUGGAGGAAACUCUGACCCAGCGACGCCGCGUGCGGGAUGAAGGCCUUCGGGUUGUAAACCGCUUUCAGCAGGGAAGAAGCGAAAGUGACGGUACCUGCAGAAGAAGCACCGGCUAACUAUGUGCCAGCAGCCGCGGUAAUACAUAGGGUGCAAGCGUUGUCCGGAAUUAUUGGGCGUAAAGAGCUCGUAGGUGGUUCGUCACGUCGGAUGUGAAAAUCUGGGGCUUAACCCCAGACCUGCAUUCGAUACGGGCGAGCUUGAGUAUGGUAGGGGAGUCUGGAAUUCCUGGUGUAGCGGUGGAAUGCGCAGAUAUCAGGAGGAACACCAAUGGCGAAGGCAGGACUCUGGGCCAUUACUGACACUGAGGAGCGAAAGCGUGGGGAGCGAACAGGAUUAGAUACCCUGGUAGUCCACGCCGUAAACGGUGGGCACUAGUUGUGGGGACCUUCCACGGUCUCUGCGACGCNGCUACGCAUAAGUCGCCCGCCGUCGGGAGGUACGAGUCGCGAAGAAUUAAACUAACAAGUAGUAAGUUAGACGGCGUGAGACGUGCCGACGGACGACGACGAGGGAGGAGG
rnacentral:rRNA from 1 species